GACGAACGUUGGCGGCGUGCUUAAUACAUGCAAGUCAACUGAAGCACCGGUAGUAAUACUGGUGUGGAGGUGGCGCACGGGUGAGUAACACGUAGGUAAUCUGCCUUCAGGUCUGACAUAACCCCGAGAAAUCGGGGCUAAUAGCAGAUGAUGCAGCGGCUUGACAUCAAGACAGUUGUUAAACCUUCGGGGCCUAGAGAUGAGCCUGCGUCUGAUUAGGUAGUUGGCGGGGUAAUGGCCCACCAAGCCUACGAUCAGUAACUGGUGUGAGAGCACGACCAGUCACACGGGCACUGAGACACGGGCCCGACUCCUACGGGAGGCAGCAGUAAGGAAUAUUGGUCAAUGGAGGGAACUCUGAACCAGCCAUGCCGCGUGCAGGAUGAAAGCCCUCUGGGUUGUAAACUGCUUUUAACAGGGAAGAAAAUGCUAUACGUGAUAUAGUACUGACGGUACCUGAGGAAUAAGCACCGGCUAACUCCGUGCC
rnacentral:rRNA from 1 species